rnacentral:rRNA from 1 species
GACGAACGCUGGCGGCGCGCUUAACACAUGCAAGUCGAACGGAAAGGCCCUGUUUUCCUGGGGUGCUCGAGUGGCGAACGGGUGAGUAACACGUGAGUAACCUGCCCUUGACUUUGGGAUAACGGCAGGAAACUGGGGCUAAUACGGGAUAGGAGCUCCUGCUGCGCGGGGGGGGUUGGAAAGUUUCGGCGGUUGGGGAUGGGCUCGCGGCUUAUCAGCUUGUUGGUGGGGUAGUGGCUUACCAAGGCUUUGACGGGUAGCCGGCCUGAGAGGGUGACCGGCCACAUUGGGACUGAGAUACGGCCCAGACUCCUACGGGAGGCAGCAGUGGGGAAUGUUGCACAAUGGGCGGAAGCCUGAUGCAGCAACGCCGCGUGCGGGAUGACGGCCUUCGGGUUGUAGACCGCUUUCGCCUGUGACGAAGCGUGAGUGACGGUAGUGGGUAAAGAAGCACCGGCUAACUACGUG